rnacentral:lncRNA from 1 species
UGACCAUCAAUAAAGAUAAAACCAACAAAGAAACUCCAAAAUCAAGAUAUUACUUAUUAUACAAGGAAACAUGUUGCCAGGCGUCAAUCUAGAUGAAGUGGUUUUCCUUAAGAAGUUAGCGUACAUGUGUAGAUUACAAGCAAUGAUCAUAUGGAGCUCAACAUCAAACAUGUCCAGUGAGGACCCAUAAAAGGUCAAGACUGAGAAAGACAUUUUCACUCCAGUGAGGACCCAUAAAAGGUCAAGACUGAGAAAGACAUUUUCACUCCAGCCAACAACUGUGGUGCAGCUGACAUAGCAUAAUAACGUAACCGUGUAGGCGCCACCAGUCCCCUUAAAUACCAGCAAGCAUCAAGAUUUUGCUGACUAGACAUGAAUUUCCUGAGUUAUGGGGAUACUCAUCUGUUUUGGUCAGUUUUCAUGGUGUUCUUUCAUUGAAAGGGACCUUUCACAGUAUUACUUGCAAUUGUUAGAUAUUUUAACUAGACAGUUCCCAGUUUUUGCAAGAGAUUUUCUGAUAUCCAACCAGCUUGACAUUGGGGAUUAGGAUAAGAGCCCUCGUGGGAGACAAGCAUCCAAAGCCCAGCUGCACGCAGUUGCCGUAUCUGGAAUAGUUUUCGAGCCAAUGAGGGCAGCCAACAUCAACAAAGAGCGAGGUUCAGAUACCAAGAAUCAUGUCUGCAGAAAGCAGAAUAAAAUUCAUGAAAAAAAUAUGAUGUGCAACGUUCUGCAGCACAACUAUGAUAAAAUGAAUAAUAUUUGCAUUUACAAACACAACUAUCCUAAACGAAACUUUGCCUAAUUAGGUCUGCAGAAAGUGGAACAAAACUCAGGAGAACUAUGGCAUGUGCCUUUUUUGCGAGAAAAAAAAAUGCCCUGCAUCGUUCAAAUCUGCAGUGCAACUAUAUUAAAUGGAUCAUUUUGCGUUUAUAAACACAACUGCC